rnacentral:rRNA from 1 species
GAUGAACGCUGGCGGCGUGCCUAAUACAUGCAAGUCGAGCGAACAGAUAAGGAGCUUGCUCCUUUGACGUUAGCGGCGGACGGGUGAGUAACACGUGGGUAACCUACCUAUAAGACUGGGAUAACUUCGGGAAACCGGAGCUAAUACCGGAUAACAUUUGGAACCGCAUGGUUCUAAAGUGAAAGAUGGUUUUGCUAUCACUUAUAGAUGGACCCGCGCCGUAUUAGCUAGUUGGUAAGGUAACGGCUUACCAAGGCGACGAUACGUAGCCGACCUGAGAGGGUGAUCGGCCACACUGGAACUGAGACACGGUCCAGACUCCUACGGGAGGCAGCAGUAGGGAAUCUUCCGCAAUGGGCGAAAGCCUGACGGAGCAACGCCGCGUGAGUGAUGAAGGGUUUCGGCUCGUAAAACUCUGUUAUUAGGGAAGAACAAAUGUGUAAGUAACUGUGCACGUCUUGACGGUACCUAAUCAGAAAGCCUCGGCUAACUACGUG